GACGAACGCUGGCGGCGUGCCUAAUACAUGCAAGUUGAGCGCUGAAGGUUGGUACUUGUACCAACUGGAUGAGCAGCGAACGGGUGAGUAACGCGUGGGGAAUCUGCCUUUGAGCGGGGGACAACAUUUGGAAACGAAUGCUAAUACCGCAUAAAAACUUUAAACACAAGUUUUAAGUUUGAAAGAUGCAAUUGCAUCACUCAAAGAUGAUCCCGCGUUGUAUUAGCUAGUUGGUGAGGUAAAGGCUCACCAAGGCGAUGAUACAUAGCCGACCUGAGAGGGUGAGUGGCCACACUGAGACGGAGACACGGCCCAAACUCCCACGGGAGGCAGCAGUAGGGAAUCUUCGGCAAUGGACGAAAGUCUGACCGAGAAACGCCGCGUGAGUGAAGAAGGUUGUCGGAUCGUAAAACUCUGUUGGUAGAGAAGAACGUUGGUGAGAGUGGAAAGCUCAUCAAGUGACGGUAACUACACAGAAAGGGACGGCUAACUACGUG
rnacentral:rRNA from 1 species